rnacentral:lncRNA from 1 species
UGUCCAGGAAAUCACAGCACUCAGCUCUAAGUUUCAGUUUUCUCACACAGGUACCAGUCAGUCAACCUGAGGACCACGACUUUAUUGCCUGCAUUUUCUCCCACAGCUCAUACGACAGAUGCUGAUGGUGAGGGAGAGAGAGACAGACGGAGGAGCAGAGAGAGAGACAGAGAGCGACCCGAGACAGCCACGACCGCAAACCCGAUCCCGACCACGACCCCGCCCUCGCUCCCGAGCCCGUGGACGACACGGCCGACCCCGAAACACCGCCCCGGUCUACCCGUUCCCGGUUCCUCCUUUUCCUCCCCUUGCCUCCUCCCCCGCACUUCCCUAAAUAAACAUCACCGGUAGGCGAGCGCCUGACCUGUUCCGCCUCCUCUGUUGCAGUCUACAUCGCUCUGCUUCCCACGGGAUUUCUUGUUCCUUGUUCACGUGCCAGUUUCCUAAUUCCAUAUUCACUGUGUGUGUCUGUUCUGGUCCCCAGCUCCGGUUCUCUCUACGUCUGUCCUCUGUUCCCCUGUUCCAAUCCUGUGGCCCAGCCCUGUCUAAGUCACUUUUUUGUGCGUUACUUCGGUUCCACUUACGGUCCUUGUAAGAACACGCUGUGCUUCUCCUUGUUCCACAUCCGCGCCUCAUUGCUGAUUUGUGCUCUGCACUCGAAAUCAUCACCCUUUACGUCUGUGGUUAGAUGUUACACUAAUACACGGCCGUGUCUUUGUCAUCCUGGGACAUGAUACAAACAUGUUAACUAAUUGCUUUCUUUGGGAUGAUCUGUACUGUCCUAAUAUGCCAAAGCAGAUCUUUCGGAGAGACAACAAUCGAGAAUUAGAGCUACAAGUUCAGAUGAAAACGUUCCUAAUUUUUCUAGCACUCAGGUGACUAACAGUAACAUGUUUCUUUGCAAGUAGUGCUUUCUUGGCCAUCUUCAGUGUCAUGGUCAAUACACGUGCACUGGAUCUAAGACCCAUGAAGGCAAUGCCAUUUUGCUGUUUUAUUAAUUGCCCAGUUUAAUUCUUUGAUUCAAUG